rnacentral:rRNA from 1 species
GGCGUGCCUAAUACAUGCAAGUCGAACGAACUCUGGUAUUGAUUGGUGCUUGCAUCAUGAUUUACAUUUGAGUGAGUGGCGAACUGGUGAGUAACACGUGGGAAACCUGCCCAGAAGCGGGGGAUAACACCUGGAAACAGAUGCUAAUACCGCAUAACAACUUGGACCGCAUGGUCCGAGUUUGAAAGAUGGCUUCGGCUAUCACUUUUGGAUGGUCCCGCGGCGUAUUAGCUAGAUGGUGGGGUAACGGCUCACCAUGGCAAUGAUACGUAGCCGACCUGAGAGGGUAAUCGGCCACAUUGGGACUGAGACACGGCCCAAACUCCUACGGGAGGCAGCAGUAGGGAAUCUUCCACAAUGGACGAAAGUCUGAUGGAGCAACGCCGCGUGAGUGAAGAAGGGUUUCGGCUCGUAAAACUCUGUUGUUAAAGAAGAACAUAUCUGAGAGUAACUGUUCAGGUAUUGACGGUAUUUAACCAGAAAGCCACGGCUAACUACGUGCCAGCAGCCGCGGUAAUACGUAGGUGGCAAGCGUUGUCCGGAUUUAUUGGGCGUAAAGCGAGCGCAGGCGGUUUUUUAAGUCUGAUGUGAAAGCCUUCGGCUCAACCGAAGAAGUGCAUCGGAAACUGGGAAACUUGAGUGCAGAAGAGGACAGUGGAACUCCAUGUGUAGCGGUGAAAUGCGUAGAUAUAUGGAAGAACACCAGUGGCGAAGGCGGCUGUCUGGUCUGUAACUGACGCUGAGGCUCGAAAGUAUGGGUAGCAAACAGGAUUAGAUACCCUGGUAGUCCAUACCGUAAACGAUGAAUGCUAAGUGUUGGAGGGUUUCCGCCCUUCAGUGCUGCAGCUAACGCAUUAAGCAUUCCGCCUGGGGAGUACGGCCGCAAGGCUGAAACUCAAAGGAAUUGACGGGGGCCCGCACAAGCGGUGGAGCAUGUGGUUUAAUUCGAAGCUACGCGAAGAACCUUACCAGGUCUUGACAUACUAUGCAAAUCUAAGAGAUUAGACGUUCCCUUCGGGGACAUGGAUACAGGUGGUGCAUGGUUGUCGUCAGCUCGUGUCGUGAGAUGUUGGGUUAAGUCCCGCAACGAGCGCAACCCUUAUUAUCAGUUGCCAGCAUUAAGUUGGGCACUCUGGUGAGACUGCCGGUGACAAACCGGAGGAAGGUGGGGAUGACGUCAAAUCAUCAUGCCCCUUAUGACCUGGGCUACACACGUGCUACAAUGGAUGGUACAACGAGUUGCGAACUCGCGAGAGUAAGCUAAUCUCUUAAAGCCAUUCUCAGUUCGGAUUGUAGGCUGCAACUCGCCUACAUGAAGUCGGAAUCGCUAGUAAUCGCGGAUCAGCAUGCCGCGGUGAAUACGUUCCCGGGCCUUGUACACACCGCCCGUCACACCAUGAGAGUUUGUAACACCCAAAGUCGGUGGGGUAACCUUUUAGGAACCAGCCGCCUAAGGUGGGACAGAUGAUUAGGGUGAAGUCGUAACAAGGUAGACC